rnacentral:misc_RNA from 1 species
GUUGAAGAACGUAGCGAAAUGCGAUAAGUAGUGUGAAUUGCAGAAUUCAGUGAAUCAUCGAAUCUUUGAACGCACAUUGCGCCCCUUGGUAUUCCAUGGGGCAUGCCUGUUCGAGCGUCAUUUGUACCUUCAGGCUCUGCUUGGUGUUGGGUGUUUGUCUCGCCUCUGCGUGUAGACUCGCCUCAAAACAAUUGGCAGCCGGCGUAUUGAUUUCGGAGCGCAGUACAUCUCGCGCUUUGCACUCAUAACGACGACGUCCAAAAGUACAUUUCUACACUCUUGACCUCGGAUCAGGUAGGGAUACCCGCUGAACUUAAGCAUAUCAAUAAGCGGAGGA